GGAAAGGCCCUUCGGGGUACUCGAGCGGCGAACGGGUGAGUAACACGUGAGUAAUCUGCCCCAGGCUCUGGGAUAGCCACCGGAAACGGUGAUUAAUACCGGAUACGACAACCGAUUGCAUGAUCUGGUUGUGGAAAGUUUUUCGGCCUGGGAUGUGCUCGCGGCCUAUCAGCUUGUUGGUGAGGUAAUGGCUCACCAAGGCUUCGACGGGUAGCCGGCCUGAGAGGGUGACCGGCCACACUGGGACUGAGACACGGCCCAGACUCCUACGGGAGGCAGCAGUGGGGAAUAUUGGACAAUGGGCGGAAGCCUGAUCCAGCAACGCCGCGUGAGGGAUGACGGCCUUCGGGUUGUAAACCUCUUUCAGCACAGACGAAGCGCAAGUGACGGUAUGUGCAGAAGAAGGACCGGCCAACUACGUGCCAGCAGCCGCGGUAAUACGUAGGGUCCGAGCGUUGUCCGGAAUUAUUGGGCGUAAAGGGCUCGUAGGCGGUCUGUCGCGUCGGGAGUGAAAACCAGGUGCUUAACACCUGGCCUGCUUUCGAUACGGGCAGACUAGAGGUACUCAGGGGAGAAUGGAAUUCCUGGUGUAGCGGUGAAAUGCGCGGAUAUCAGGAGGAACACCGGUGGCGAAGGCGGUUCUCUGGGAGUAUCCUGACGCUGAGGAGCGAAAGUGUGGGGAGCGAACAGGAUUAGAUACCCUGGUAGUCCACACCGUAAACGUUGGGCGCUAGGUGUGGGACACAUUCCACGUGUUCCGUGCCGCAGCUAACGCAUUAAGCGCCCCGCCUGGGGAGUACGGCCGCAAGGCUAAAACUCAAAUGAAUUGACGGGG
rnacentral:rRNA from 1 species